rnacentral:rRNA from 1 species
UCGAACGCUUCUUUUUCCACCGGAGCUCGCUCCACCGGAAAAAGAGGAGUGGCGAACGGGUGAGUAACACGUGGGUAACCUGCCCAUCAGAAGGGGAUAACACUUGGAAACAGGUGCUAAUACCGUAUAACAAUCGAAACCGCAUGGUUUUGAUUUGAAAGGCGCUUUCGGGUGUCGCUGAUGGAUGGACCCGCGGUGCAUUAGCUAGUUGGUGAGGUAACGGCUCACCAAGGCCACGAUGCAUAGCCGACCUGAGAGGGUGAUCGGCCACAUUGGGACUGAGACACGGCCCAAACUCCUACGGGAGGCAGCAGUAGGGAAUCUUCGGCAAUGGACGAAAGUCUGACCGAGCAACGCCGCGUGAGUGAAGAAGGUUUUCGGAUCGUAAAACUCUGUUGUUAGAGAAGAACAAGGAUGAGAGUAACUGUUCAUCCCUUGACGGUAUCUAACCAGAAAGCCACGGCUAACUACGUGCCAGCAGCCGCGGUAAUACGUAGGUGGCAAGCGUUGUCCGGAUUUAUUGGGCGUAAAGCGAGCGCAGGCGGUUUCUUAAGUCUGAUGUGAAAGCCCCCGGCUCAACCGGGGAGGGUCAUUGGAAACUGGGAGACUUGAGUGCAGAAGAGGAGAGUGGAAUUCCAUGUGUAGCGGUGAAAUGCGUAGAUAUAUGGAGGAACACCAGUGGCGAAGGCGGCUCUCUGG